rnacentral:lncRNA from 1 species
UCAACUAGUGCAAUUGAGAUGUUGUGCUAUCUUAUUAACAAGUGACUGUUAAAAAAAAAAACAAAACUGCAGUUCAUUUAAGAUUCUUGUGGUUUUUCCUUUAGCCUUGAGAAACGCAUGCUUUGAUAAGAAGUGCUUCUUCUGAUGGACUCUGGAAUGAAGUCUUGUGAAACAUAUCUGAACUGAAUCCUGGCAUAGAGUAUAACUGAAACUGAUCAGCCACCUACAUGUAAUGGCAGUGGGCUGAAGAUAUCCCAAGAGGAUUCACUGGGGAGCCACACGGUAGUAGUCACAUGGAAACUGCAAAUUUCAGUGAGAAAGAUUCUAUAAGGCAAUGGCAAAAGUCAAGUUUGGAGGGCCUGGGGUGUGGCACAGAAGUAUGUGCUUAAUUUGCGAGGCUCCAGUUGCUGGACAAAACAGGGUAGAGGAAAGGCAUUUUCCCUCCCCUAGACAUCCAGAGAUGAGAUACCAGCCUCAGAUGACUUUUUUUGUUGUUGUUGUUCUGCCAAUUGACUGAAAGAGGAUGAACAUAAAGACAGUGUUCUCCACUGGGAGCAAAACUGGAAGAACAUUUACUCUGAGAUACACUGAAACAGGGAUGGUUUAUAGCAAAUUGCGGAAGGUGCUUUUGAUACAGAGUCAAAUAGGUAAGCAAAUAGGUUCUUGUAUUUCCAUUCGAAGGUAAAUAUAUGACUCCUUUAAGGAGGAAGGAUGAGUUUUAAGUUAAUGUGUAGGAAAUAAUUUCUAAAAUAUAUACAAUAUACUAUUUCUUUAAAUAUGUUUUGUUUUUAUUGUGGUAAGAACACUUAACAUGAGAUCUCCCUUCCUGACAAAUUUUAAAUGAACACUGCACUAUAAUUAUCUAUAUCUAUAUCCAUAUCUAUCUGUCUAUAUAUAUGUAUAAAACUGUUAGCUAUAUUGUUGGCACAAUGUUGUAUAGCAGAUCUUUAGAUCUUAACCCAUUAAACAGCAAAUUCUCAUUUAUUGGCUUGCUUUGAAAUAUUUCUUUGAAGUUUUUGUCUGUUUUAAGGUUAGUUAAACAUCAUUUAAUUUUUAUUGUUUUUAGAGAGGAAGCUAUAUUUGAACCUUAAAAUUAUUGGCAAUCUAUGACCAUAUAUACUUUAAUAUGUAUGCACUUUCUGAAGAGAAACUUUGUUCUCAGAGAAAAUCAUGCAAUACAGACAUGCUGCUACCUGGUAACAGGUAAGGAUUUAGAAAGUGAAAUUACCACGUUGACUCUGAAAUUAUGAAACAUGCAUCAUCAAUAUCAUGCUUUCCUUUUCUUGAGCUUCAUGGUAAGUUACCAUUUUUUUUAUUUGCACCUGGAAUUUCAUUUUGGUUUUUUAUAAAUUUUCUUUCAAAUUCAGCUUCCAAUAUCAUAGAUUUUCUUGCUUGUAACAUGUGGACUUUUUGUAUCUGAGGUAGCGAUCCAAUCGAAGUGAGAGUGAAUGAACCACACCAGAAUGGUGACAAUAGAAAGGAGUAAAAGAAUUGGUGGGAAGUUUGACCUUUACUUUUACAGGAUAGUCUUGUGACUCUCUUCCUUAUUAUUAUAGAGUUUCACUCUGGGAAUUUAUAAUUUUCUUGCUAUUCAUUGAUAAUUUUAAAUCUAAUAUUUAUUUUAAAAAAUAUAAAGAAAUAAAAUGUCUUUGAAUUAGAUUUGUUCA